AGUGAACGCUGGCGGUAGGCCUAACACAUGCAAGUCGAACGGCAGCACAGGAGAGCUUGCUCUAUGGGUGGCGAGUGGCGGACGGGUGAGGAAUACAUCGGAAUCUACUUUUUCGUGGGGGAUAACGUAGGGAAACUUACGCUAAUACCGCAUACGACCUACGGGUGAAAGCAGGGGACCUUCGGGCCUUGCGCGAUGGAAUGAGCCGAUGUCGGAUUAGCUAGUUGGCGGGGUAAAGGCCCACCAAGGCUACGAUCCGUAGCUGGUCUGAGAGGAUGAUCAGCCACACUGGAACUGAGACACGUUCCAGACUCCUACGGGAGGCAGCAGUGGGGAAUAUUGGACGAUGGGCGCAAGCCUGAUCCAGCCAUACCGCGUGGGUGAAGAAGGCCUUCGGGUUGUAAAGCCCUUUUGUUGGGAAAGAAAUCCAGCUGGCUAAUACCCGGUUGGGAUGACGGUACCCAAAGAAUAAGCACCGGCUAACUUCGUGCCAGCCGCCGCAGUAA
rnacentral:rRNA from 1 species